rnacentral:rRNA from 1 species
GAUGAACGCUGGCGGCGUGCCUAAUACAUGCAAGUCGAGCGGACGGACGAAAAGCUUGCUUCUCAGUCGUUAGCGGCGGACGGGUGAGUAACACGUGGACAACCUACCUAGUAGACGGGGAUAACUCCGAGAAACCGGAGCUAAUACCGGAUAACACGAUGAACCGCAUGGCGCAUCAGUGAAAGACGGUCCAAGUGGCACCUACAGAUGGAGCCGCGCGGCAUUAGCUAGUUGGGAAGGUAACGGCUUACCAAGGCAACGAUGCGUAGCCGACCUGAGAGGGUGAUCGGCCACACUGGGACUGAGACACGGCCCAGACUCCUACGGGAGGCAGCAGUAGGGAAUCUUCCGCAAUGGGCGAAAGCCUGACGGAGCAACGCCGCGUGAGCGAUGAAGGCCUUCGGGUCGUAAAGCUCUGUUGUUAGGGAAGAACAUGUAUCGCAGUAACUGGCGUUACCUUGACGGUACCUAACCAGAAAGCCACGGCUAACUACGUG